rnacentral:rRNA from 1 species
GAUGAACGCUAGCUACAGGCUUAACACAUGCAAGUCGAGGGGCAGCAUGAAGUUUGCUUGCAAACUUUGAUGGCGACCGGCGGAUCGGUGAGUAACGCGUAUCCAACCUGCCCCCUUCCCGGGCACAGCCCUUGGAAACGAGGAUUAACUCCCGAUGGUGUCAGUCAGGCGCAUGCCUUUCUGACCAAAUGUUUAAGGAAGGGGAUGGGGAUGCGUCCCAUUAGCUUGUUGGCGGGGUAACGGCCCACCAAGGCUCCGAUGGGUAGGGGUUCUGAGAGGCAGGUCCCCCACACUGGAACUGAGACACGGUCCAGACUCCUACGGGAGGCAGCAGUGAGGAAUAUUGGCCAAUGGAGGCAACUCUGAACCAGCCAAGUAGCGUGAGGGAAGACUGCCCUACGGGUUGUAAACCUCUUUUGUCGGGGAAUAAACCGCGCCACGUGUGGCGCUCUGCAUGUACCCGCAGAAUAAGGACCGGCUAAUUCCGUGCCAGCCGCCGCCGUAAGAC